GCACCGGCUAACUCCGUGCCAGCAGCCGCGGUAAUACGGAGGGUGCGAGCGUUAAUCGGAAUUACUGGGCGUAAAGCGCAUGCAGGUGGUUUGUUUAAGUCAGAUGUGAAAGACCCGGGGCGUCAACCUCGGAAUAGCAUUUGUAAACUAGGCAGACUAGAGUACUGUAGAGGGGGGGUAGGAAUUUCAGGUGUAGCGGUGAAAUGCGUAGAGAUCUGAAGGAAUACCGGUGGCGAAGGCGGCCCCCUCGGACAGAUACUGACACUCAGAUGACGAAAGCGGUGGGGGAGACAAACAGGAUUAGACUACCCUGGUAG
rnacentral:rRNA from 1 species